UACAGAGGGUGCAAGCGUUGUUCGGAAUUAUUGGGCGUAAAGCGCGUGUAGGCGGUGAUGCAUGUCGGGUGUGAAAGCCCUCAGCUUAACUGAGGAAGUGCGCCCGAAACUGCAUCGCUGGAGUGUCGGAGAGGAAGGCGGAAUUCCCGGUGUAGAGGUGAAAUUCGUAGAUAUCGAGAGGAACACCGGUGGCGAAGGCGGCCUUCUGGACAGUGACUGACGCUGAGACGCGAAAGCGUGGGGAGCAAACAGG
rnacentral:rRNA from 1 species